UUGAUAAAAAAGCCUCAGCCAGUUGGCCCUUUAUGAACUCCGGUCUGAUCCUGGUACUUCUUGUCCUCCUAAAACCCUACGCGUCGAGUCAAACAGUCGGACAAGCGGGAGGAGAAGCGCCACCUUCCUUUCUCCUCCCCUUCCGCCCUUGUACUCCCGCUCCUUCCCGUAAGCGCGGCGAGGAUGCAAAGCCUGAGAGCCCUAGCGCUUGCGAGGCGGUCCCUCCCUGCUCUCCGCUUUCUCCCCAAUCCCCGGACCCUCUCCACCCAACCAUUCGCCGCCCAAGACGACCCUCUCCGCGACGAAGUACUCGUGGAAGGCAAGGCGAGCGCAAGGGCUGCGAUUCUCAACAGACCAUUUGCUCUUAAUGCUCUCAAUACGAACAUGGCGCUUAGGUUGAAGAAGCUGUAUGAGUCGUGGGAAGAUAAUCCUGAUAUCGGGUUUGUCAUAAUGAAGGGCAGUGGCAGAGCAUUCUGUGCUGGUGGAGAUAUCGUCACCCUUUACCAAUUGCUUCAAGAAGGGAAGGUGGAAGACUGCAAGGAUUUUUUCAGGAACUUAUAUAUGUUCAUUUACAUUUUAGGCACAUAUUUGAAGCCUCAUGUGGCCAUUUUGGAUGGUAUUACCAUGGGGGGUGGAGCAGGAGUUUCAGUUCCUGGGACAUUUCGUAUUGCAACUGAUAAGACUAUAUUCGCUACCCCAGAAACUCAUAUUGGCUUCCAUCCUGAUGCUGGGGCUUCCUUUUACCUGUCACAUCUAACUGGUCAUGUAGGGGAAUACCUGGCUCUAACUGGUGAAAGGCUCAAUGGAGUGGACAUGCUGGCAGUUGGCCUUGCCACACACUAUUCAAUGAGUGCUAGACUUAACUGGAUUGAUGAAAGGCUUGCUAAGUUGGUUACUGAUGAUCCUUCUGUCAUAGACUCAUCUCUUGCACAAUAUGGUGACAUUGUGUAUCCAGAUAAAAAGAGCAUUUUUCACAGGCUGGAGGUCAUCGAUAAAUGUUUUGGCCAUGAUACAGUUGAGGAAAUUGUGGAUGCUUUGCUUGACUUUCCAGGUAUUCAUAACACCAUUCCUGAUGUGACAUUCUUCAAUCCAGCAGUGGUUUUUUUUCACAAAAGAAAGAAAGCGAGACAGCUAGAUCAAAUCAGGAUUGGUGUACAUCUGCACUUAAGAAACUCAAAGAAGCUUCUCCUUUGAGUUUAAAAGUUACCCUGAGAUCUAUACGAGAAGGUAGAUUUGAAACGCUGGAUGAAUGCCUUGUUCGUGAAUAUCGUAUGUCUCUUCAUGGUAUCUCGAAACAGGUUUCUCAUGAUUUCUCUGAGGGUGUUCGGGCACGAUUGGUUGACAAAGACUUGGCUCCAAAGUGGGAUCCUCCGUCAUUAGAACAAGUGUCAGAUGACAUGGUUGAGUACCAUUUCUCACCUCUUGGUGAGGUUGAGCCUGAACUAAAGCUACCCACCAAUUUGCGAGAGGCGUUUAUCUGAUAUUGGAUGGUGGAAAUUGGAUCAUCAUACAUUUCUUCAGCAGAGUGGAAAGCAGAUUUUUUUUUUUUGUUUCACUUUUGAGGAAAUGUCUUGUAUCAUAAUUACAGUACCGUGCUGAUAACAAUAUCAAAUCUUGAGGAAUAGUUUGCAUCAGAGCGUUACUCUUACUAGAUUUCAGC